rnacentral:rRNA from 1 species
CCUACGGGUGGCUGCAGUGGGGAAUAUUGCACAAUGGGGGAAACCCUGAUGCAGCGACGCCGCGUGAGUGAAGACGUAUUUCGGUAUGUAAAGCCCUAUCAGCAGGGAAGAAACCCACCCUCCGGGGUGGCUGACGGUACCUGACUAAGAAGCCCCGGCUAACUACGUGCCAGCAGCCGCGGUAAUACGUCGGGGGCAAGCGUUAUUCGGCUUUACUGGGUGUAAAGGGGGCGUAGGUGGCAAGGCAAGGCAGAUGUGAAAACCCGGGGCCUAACCCCGUGAGCGCAUCUGAAACUGUCUGGCUAGAGUGCGGGAGAGGUAAGUGGAAUUCCUAGUGUAGCGGUGAAAUGCAUAGAUAUUAGGAAGAACACCGAUGGCGAAGGCAGCUUACUGGACUGUAACUGACACUGAGGCACGAAAGCGUGGGGAGCAAACAGGAUUAGAUACCCGUGUAGUC